rnacentral:rRNA from 1 species
CAUGCAGUUCGAACGGCAGCACGGGUGCUUGCACCUGGUGGCGAGUGGCGAACGCCUGAGUAAUGUAUCGGAACGUAUCCAAUAAUGGGGGAUAACUAAUCGAAAGGUUGGCUAAUACCGCAUACGCCCUACGGGGGAAAGCAGGGGAUCUUCGGACCUUGCGUUAAUGGAGCGGCCGAUAUCUGAUUAGCUAGUUGGUGAGGUAAAGGCUCACCAAGGCGACGAUCAGUAGCUGGUCUGAGAGGACGACCAGCCACACUGGAACUGAGACACGGUCCAGACUCCUACGGGAGGCAGCAGUGGGGAAUUUUGGACAAUGGGGGCAACCCUGAUCCAGCCAUUCCGCGUGAGUGAAGAAGGCCUUCGGGUUGUAAAGCUCUUUCGCAAGGGAAGAAACGAUACAGUCUAAUAAACUGUGUUAAUGACGGUACCUUGAUAAGAAGCACCGGCUAACUACGUGCCAGCAGCCGCGGUAAUACGUAGGGUGCGAGCGUUAAUCGGAAUUACUGGGCGUAAAGCGUGCGCAGGCGGUUUUGAAAGUCAGAUGUGAAAUCCCCGGGCUCAACCUGGGAACUGCGUUUGAAACUCCAAAGCUAGAGUAUGGGAGAGGGGGGUAGAAUUCCACGUGUAGCAGUGAAAUGCGUAGAGAUGUGGAGGAAUACCAAUGGCGAAGGCAGCCCCCUGGCUUAAUACUGACGCUCAUGCACGAAAGCGUGGGGAGCAAACAGGAUUAGAUACCCCGGUAGUCCACGCCCUAAACGAUGUCUACUAGUUGUUGGGAGAGUAAAAUCUCUUAGUAACGCAGCUAACGCGUGAAGUAGACCGCCUGGGGAGUACGGUCGCAAGAUUAAAACUC